rnacentral:rRNA from 1 species
GCGAGCGUUAAUCGGAAUUACUGGGCGUAAAGUGUGCGCAGGCGGCCGCGCAAGUCGAGUGUGAAAGCCCCGGGCUCAACCUGGGAACUGCGUUUGAAACUGCAAGGCUAGAGUAUGGGAGAGGGAGGUAGAAUUCCACGUGUAGCAGUGAAAUGCGUAGAGAUGUGGAGGAAUACCAAUGGCGAAGGCAGCCUCCUGGCCUAAUACUGACGCUCAUGCACGAAAGCGUGGGGAGCAAACA